rnacentral:rRNA from 1 species
CCUACGGGUGGCAGCAGUGAGGAAUAUUGGUCAAUGGACGCGAGUCUGAACCAGCCAAGUAGCGUGAAGGAUGACUGCCCUACGGGUUGUAAACUUCUUUUAUAUGGGAAUAAAAUGAGGCACGUGUGCCUUUUUGUAUGUACUUUAUGAAUAAGGAUCGGCUAACUCCGUGCCAGCAGCCGCGGUAAGACGGAGGAUCCGAGCGUUACCCGGAUUUAUUGGGUUUAAAGGGAGCGUAGGUGGGUUGUUAAGUCAGUUGUGAAAGUUUGCGGCUCAACCGUAAAAUUGCAGUUGAGACUGGCAGCCUUGAGUACAGUCGAGGUAGGCGGAAUUCGUGGUGUAGCGGUGAAAUGCUUAGAUAUCACGAAGAACUCCGAUUGCGAAGGCAGCUGACUAAACUGCAACUGACACUGAUGCUCGAAAGUGUGGGUAGCAAACAGGAUUAGAUACCCGAGUAGUC